GAUGAACGCUAGCGGCAGGCCUAAUACAUGCAAGUCGAACGAGAUUAAGAGGCUUUCUUCUUAUUAAAGUUGCGCACGGGUGCGUAACGCGUAUGCAACCUACCUUAAUCAGGGGGAUAGCCCGCAGAAAUUCGGAUUAAGACCUCAUAAAAACACAGGAUAGCAUUAUCCAAUGUUCAAAUAUUUAUAUUGUUAAGAUGGGCAUGCGUGUCAUUAGCUAGUUGGCGGGGUAACGUCCCAGCAAGGCUACGAAGACUAGGGGAUCUGAGAGGAUGACCCCCCACACUGGUACUGAGACACGGACCAGACUCCUACGGGAGGCAGCAGUAAGGAAUAUUAGUCGAUGGAGGGAACUCUGAACCAGCCAUGCCGCGUACAAGAAGACAGCCCUCUGAGUCGUAAACUGCUUUUAUUCGGGAAUAAACCUUUCUACGUGUAGGAAGCUGAAUGUACCGAAGGAAUAAGGAACGGCUAACUCCGUG
rnacentral:rRNA from 1 species